rnacentral:rRNA from 1 species
CCUACGAGAGGCAGCAGUGAGGAAUAUUGGUCAAUGUGCGCGAGCCUGAACCAGCCAAGUAGCGUGAAGGAUGACUGCCCUACGGGUUGUAAACUUCUUUUAUAAAGGAAUAAAGUGAGGCACGUGUGCCUUUUUGUAUGUACUUUAUGAAUAAGGAUCGGCUAACUCCGUGCCAGCAGCCGCUGUAAUACGGAGGAUCCGAGCGUUAUCCGGAUUUAUUGGGUUUAAAGUGAGCGUAGAUGGGUUGUUAAGUCAGUUGUGAAAGUUUGCGGCUCAACCGUAAAAUUGCAAUUGAUACUGGCAGUCUUGAGUACAGUUGAGGUAGGCGGAAUUCGUGGUGGAGCGGUGAAAUGCUUAGAUAUCACGAAGAACUCCGAUUGCGAAGGCAGCUUACUAAACUGCAACUGACAUUGAUGCUCGAAAGUGUGGGUAUCAAACAGGAUUAGAUACCCUUGUAGUC